GUGAGUGACCUGCCCUUGUGCGGGGGAUAACCGUGGGAAACCGCGGCUAAUACCGCAUGACAUCUUCUUCUCACAUGGGAGGGAGAUCAAAGGUGCUUUAUUGCACUGCGCAGGGAGGGGCUCGCGGCGUAUCAGCUAGACGGUGGGGUAACGGCCUACCGUGGCGAUGACGCGUAGGGGGUCUGAGAGGAUGGCCCCCCACAUUGGGACUGAGAUACGGCCCAGACUCCUACGGGAGGCAGCAGUGGGGAAUCUUGCGCAAUGGGAGCAAUCCUGACGCAGCGACGCCGCGUGCGGGAGGACGCCUUUCGGGGUGUAAACCGCUGUCACCGGGGACGAACUAGGCUGGGAGGCAAUGCCCAGUCUUUGACGGUACCCGGAGAGGAAGCACCGGCUAACUCCGUGCCAGCAGCCGCGGUAAUACGGAGGGUGCAAGCGUUGUUCGGAAUUAUUGGGCGUAAAGCGCGCGUAGGCGGUCCUUUAAGUCUGUCUUUAAUACGACUCACUAUAGGGCGAAUUGAAUUUAUGCGGCCGCGAAUUCGCCCUUCGGACGGGUGAGUAACGCGUGAUAAUGGGAUUAGAUACCCCAGUAGUCACGGACGGGUGAGUAACGCGUGAUAAUGGGAUUAGAUACCCCAGUAGUCAGGCGGACGGGUGAGUAACGCGUGAUAAUGGGAUUAGAUA
rnacentral:rRNA from 1 species